rnacentral:snoRNA from 1 species
CUGGCGCCUUAGCCACUUGAGCUACAGGUGCAGAGCCUAAAGAAUUAUCUUUCUAGAGUCUGUUAGCCAUUUCAGAACUUUGGAAAUGUAAUGGUCAAUUCAUUAGAAAGAAACAGUA